UCAGAUGAGCAAGAGGAGGGUUUCAUCUUGGUCACCAGUGCCGAGAUAUCAGCAAGAGCCACAGGCCUAAAUGAGGACCACAAGCUGGAGGCAGGCUCAGUGACAGCAGGGGUUUCACACAAAAAAGAAGAAGGGGGGGGGGGGGGGAUUUUCUCCUUGAUUAACUUAAUUUUAUCAAUGAAGAAUCUCAAGAAAGCAUUGCUGUCAGCUUCACAAAAAACAGGGGUAACUGGGGCAGCAGGACGUACAAGUGAAUUGAUCGUGUCAAACAACACUUUGGGGUUUUUCUUAUUUACUGUUACCAGUUGACGGAAGUACUCAGAUCUAGCAUUUCCCACCAUCUCAUUAUAAGAUGUAGGGGAAUCUCUUUAUACAUUUAGGUUAAGAAAUGUAGAGUAAUGAUCUUUUAGUAAGAAGCCACAACUAAUCUAGGUUGGCCUGAUCCUGCAGCCCCACGACCAUGAGAUUGUAAGCAAGGCUGUCUUGCAGUAGCCCAAACUAUCUGUCUGUUGGAACACGUAAUCUCUGCCUGGGUCAAGACGAACCUAAACCAAGUGUCGUGGGGCAGACAUGACAUCAGGAGAGGCCUUCUGGAGAAUACACAUACACACACACACACACAUCCACACACACACACACACACACACACACACACACACACACACACACACACACACACACACACACACACACACACACACUCACACAGGAUAAAAGGGAGUAGAAGAAAAGCUAGGGGUGCUUCCUUCGGUCUUGGUCGAGACAUAAUUGGCGAGCUAACACAGGAUUCGUGUCUGAGAAACAGGAGCCGUGGCUCUGCGACCUCUCGAGGGGGAGACGCUUGGGGCCCCAAAAAAGAGAAUAAGGUAGGAGAUCUCCUAAAAAAAAUUUUGUCUGAGUGCUUUGCCCUGCGAGAUAGCGCAGACCUACGCUCACUGUUCCCUUCGAAUCAAAGAACCUAGAAUAGAAAAAGAGGAGACUGUGGGAAUGAAGACAGUCUGGGUAAACUGCAUGCAUGCAGUCAGCUGAUCAAAGUCUGCUAAAUUUGUGAGGAAGCCAGUUGAAAUUGAAUAUAUAUCAGCUGAUUUAAGAGAAACUGCAGUUGACUGUGUGAAAUUGCCUCACGCUGUUGCAUGUGUGAGAUGCCAUAUGUAGAGCUGUAGGCUGCUACAUAUGAGGGAUGCCAUAUGCAGAGCUAUAGGUUGCUGCAUGUGAGGAAUGCCAUAUGUAGAGCUAUAGGCUGCUGCAUAUGAGGGAUGCCAUAUGUAGAGCUAUAGGCUGCUGCAUGUGAUGAAUGCCAUAUGUAGAGCUAUAGGCUGCUGCAUGUGAUGAAUGCCAUACGAGGAGCUAUAGGCUGCUGCAUGUGAUGAAUGCCAUACGAGGAGCUAUAGGCUGCUGUAUGUGAUGAAUGCCGUAUGUGGAGCUAUAGGCUGCUGCAUGUGAUGAAUGCCAUAUGUGGAGCUAUAGGCUGCUGCAUGUGAUGAAUGCCAUAUGUAGAGCUAUAGGCUGCUGCAUGUGAGGAAUGCCAUAUGUAGAGCUAUAGGCUACUGCAUAUGAGGAAUGCCACAUGUAGAGCUAUAGGCUGCUGCAUAUGAGGGAUGCCACAUGUAGAGCUAUAGGCUGCUGCAUAUGAGGGAUGCCACAUGUAGAGCUAUAGGCUGCUGCAUAUGAGGAAUGCCACAUGUAGAGCUAUAGGCUGCUGCAUAUGAGGAAUGCCACAUGUAGAGCUAUAGGCUGCUGCAUAUGAGGGAUGCCACAUGUAGAGCUAUAGGCUGCUGCAUGUGAUGAAUGCCAUAUGUAGAGCUAUAGGCUGCUGCAUAUGAGGAAUGCCACAUGUAGAGCUAUAGGCUGCUGCAUGUGAGGAAUGCCAUAUGUAGAGCUAUAGGCUGCUGCAUGUGUGAGAUGCCAUAUGUAGAAGCCAUAGGCUGUUCUAUGUGUGAGAAGCUAUAGGCCGGGUGCAGAAGCACUUCGUCUUCCUGAAAGGGUGAGACCGCCUCACGCUGCUAUAAGUGUGAGAUUGUCAUAUAUGAAGCUAUAGACUGGGUGCAGAAGCACUUCGUCUUCCUUAAAGGGUGAGACCGCCUCACGCUGCUAUAAGUGUGAGAUUGUCACAUGUGAAGCUAUCGGCUGGGUGCAGAAGCACUUCGUCUUCUUUAAAGGGUGAGAUCGCCUAAUGCUGCUAUAAGUGUGAGACGGACAUAUUUUCUUUAAACUGAAUGCCUGGAGAUAAAAGGGCCUGGGUAAUUGUUGGGAUAACAAGGGGAGCGGCAGGCACAAAUGUGUCUGUCCAUUGUUGAACUGUGAGCUUUAGGUUCUUUUUUAUGAGCUCAAGUGGCAGUCGCCGACAGACGAGCAGAAAUCCUCACGAAAGGUCGAAAGGCCCCAUGAAAUCAGUGUCCUAAUUGGAUUUAAAUUACAGAUACAGAUCGGCUCGAUGAGCAGGAAAUAGAAAUAGAGGUCAAUAAGGAUAGGCUGAAAAGCCUAUUCAGGGAUCCCAACUGUACAAGCACGUCCCAUAUCUCCUGACCAAUUGUAGAAGAAUCACACAAAUUGAAAAAAACACACAAAUUGGAAAAUUGAAGAAAUGAAAACAAGAAUUAAAAUAAAAGACUGAAGACCGACCCGAAAGACUGACUUCUGACCAAGACUAUCACAUGUGUGAAAGGGUUAACCAUUGAAUGAUGAGAGAAUGAAGUGAUUGAGCUGAGUAUUGCAAGUGUAUGUGUGUAAAAAUCUGCAGUGAGUGAAGCGGCUGAGCUAAGCGCUGUGAGUGCGUGUGUUAGAUUUGUAUCAAUGCUUUCAGCUGCGCUUACAAACUGACUUUGUAUGGGAUUACAUGUAUAUGUUUGAUAAUAACUAACUCCUUGCCUUCAUUUUUCCUGUGUCAAUGUGAUUCAAGCAAUGGUUGUAAAAGGGUGAUAUGAAAGAGAGACAAUUAGUGCUGCAAGUGUUAAACUGUUAGAAAGAUCAAAUUUCCAAGGGUUGCUUCUGCACAUCUGCUGUAUCUGCUGAACCGGUCAAAAUACUGUGGGUUUUCAUACUGUUGAAGCUGUCAAUACCAAUACCGAUUUUUGCUGUGUGACUCCAGUGAACAUUGAAGCUGUUGAUCUGUGUAAUUUUUGAGAAGUCUACAGAAUUGUUUUUUUUUUUUUUUUGAGUGUGUUCACUUAAAGAGGGUUCUUUAGUGCUGCAUUUUGAAUGGUGAUGCAAGUCAUGACUAAAGUAGAAUGCGGUAUUGCACUGUCUGAGUAAUGAAAGUGUAAAAAACUAACAGUGAGAGCAUUGGCGCUUUGACUGUGACAUAGUCCGAAGCAAGGCAAGGCUUGGGAAAACGGUGUGACUUACAGGGAGAGACAAGAUCUGCUCUGGUAAACAGCUAGAAAGAAUUUGAGCUAGCCAGAAGUGCUAAGGAGGAAGGAGGGUGGAGUUUUGUAGAACUCCCAACCCCUUUUCCUUUCUCUCUCUCUUUGCUCGUGUAGUGCCUUGCUUAACCCCCCUCCCAUGUGAAAUCCUGACUUUUUGUCGGGUCUGUUUGAUUUUUUUUUUUCUUUUUCUGCAGCAGGGGCUGGCUGUGUGCUUUAAAUUUGACAGCAGACAGAGAUUAUAGAAAAUAUUGAGAAGUGAAGCGGCAAUUGUACUGUCUCCUGUAGAUUAAAACAAAGUUUCAAAUUAAUAAAUUAAAUACAUAAAUAAAAAUAAAUUUAGUUAAAUAAAUUUUUGGUUUUUUCCCAGUAUUAGUAGGGCAAUAAUUAGACAAGAGACUUAAAAUAGAGUGAUAAUCAGAAAAAAAAAUAAAAAUAGAAAUAAAAUAAAUAAAUAAAUAAAACGAUUGGCCGAAACAAUUAAAACUAAAACAGAAAAUGAGUACAACUCCGGUUGCACUAGUGGGGUGUAAAUACCCUGCGCACCUGAAAGACAUCCAGAAAUUAACAAAGAAAUGGGAAAAACGAACCAAGGGAUUGGAAUCUGCAUGGCCAAGAGAAGGCACAUUUGAUGUGACUGUGUGUGAGGAUUUGGAGAGGCGAAUAAAAGAUCAUAAGACCAAAGAUAAAAGUAAAAAACGCCAAGGAAAGAGAGAAUUGGAGCUAAAAGUAUUAAACAUGUUUAAAAGCGAGGGACAACACUACCUAAACAAUCUAAAAAUUGGAAUGGCAGAGCUGAAAAACACCAAGGAGAAGGAAAAGUCACAACUCUGGAAGGAGACCAAAACGGAAAAAGAGAUACCAAAAUCUAAACAGACACCAGAACCUGUAGGUAUAUACCCUUCUCUGGUGGGAAAAAUCAACAUAAAUGGCGAUUUUGAAGUUGAUAGAGGGGAAGCCUCACUCCAAAAUAACUCAGGAGUGGGAGGGGGAGAAAACUGCCCAACUCUAGGAAACAAAGCUAGUGGGGACAAUAUUGGACCACCAAUCCCACAACAUUGCAGCACAACAAAGAAACAGGCACAGAAUAAGCCGUCCAUAAUUGAUUGUUUUGCAGAACGCAAUGAGACUCUGAGAACUGGUGCAGGUGGACUAUCAUAUUGGCAUAACCCUGAAAACAGAAGCAUAGAGUUGCGACGUGAACUCUGUCGCUCAGCAAUACAAGAAAUGGAAAGAGAGGUAGAUGCAUGUGAUGAAUUAAUCCGAAUGAAACUGGGAGAUCGGAGAGACACAACAAGCAACUCAGAUAGUGGGGGAGGACAGACACUAAUCAGCACAGCUAAAACACAGAGUUCACGAACAUCAAAUGAUCCCACACAUGCACAAAAAUAUGAUCUUAGAUACAGGCCCGGGAUACACCCGCCAGAAAAAUAUACUGAUGGCUUAUUUCCAAUCCUAAUAAAGGGCACGCAGGCCACUUAUGUGCCGUGGCAGACCACUGACCUUACUGGGCUGAUUGCCAGGUUGCGGCAACUAGACCAGGGGGCAGGAAGGUGGAUCAGAACAUUUGAAGACGAGACUGUGGGGAAAAUGUUGGCUUUGGGAGACAUGAAAGCACUUUUUGCACAAUUGCUGGGAAUUAAGACAAUAAAGGAGAUUCUCCAAAGGGCUGGACAGGGUUGGAUGGCAGAUCCCAUGGCAGAUGGGACUGAGUUCAACCCCUACCGUGCAGUGUUGUGGAAAACAUUACGGAGUGAGUUUCCUAGCAAAAUAGAUGCAAAAGUGUUAACGGGGGAACCACUGACAGACACAGAGAACCCUGCUGCAUAUAUCGCCAAACAGCUAAAAAUGUGGAAGCAAGAAACAGAGGAGGACACUGAAAGCAAUCCAGUACUAAUGACCUUGUUCAGAAAUUCUGUUAUUGAGGCUCUUCCCGCCAAGGUUCAAGACAGACUGGAGGAGGUUGUGGGUCUGACAUCUAUGCAUUAUACACAGUUUCGUGAUCAUGUGGUGCAUGCUAUCGAGAAGCAUAGAAAAGAUGAGAGCAAAUUAACGGAGCAAGAAAGAAACACACAGAGAAAACUGGUGCAGCUACAGCUGGGGGAACUACAAAAUAAAGACAAAACUCAAGCUGCUGUGGUGACACCAGCAGUACAGGCUGCGCAAAUAACAACUGAAGCACAGCCAGUCUCAGCCCAGCGGGCACCUGCCCCGCCAGCUCCGGCUCCAGUUGUUCAUGUAUAUCCUCCAUCGAGACGUGUUUUCCCUCCGAGGAGACAGUACCAGACAGACAGGCGUAACCUGCCCAAUGGCUGCUGGACAUGUGGACAAGACGGACAUAGAUCGAGGGAAUGCCCCAGAUAUCAGGGUGGUCCAAACGGGAGAUGCGGCAGGGGGCCCCAGCCCAGGCAACGUGAUGGUGGCCCGGCGAAUUCAGACAGAGAGCCUGUAGCUGACUAGGGAUGCCCAGAGAGUCCUACAGAGGGAGGUGGCUCCGAAACGGAGUUUCCAAUGGUAGCCAUGGGAGAAAACGAACCGAUAGUGACAGUUGAAUUAGAAGAUAGACCAAUCCCCAUGCUAGUCGACACUGGAGCCACAUACACAUGCGUCAAUUCAGAACAUGCCACACACCUCCCCAGGUCUAACAAAUUUGUGAAGACAGUAGGAUUCUCGGGUAAACGACAGCUAAUUCCACAAACGGCUCCAGUGCGGCUAUCAGUUGAAAACAAAGAAGUUAAAGUGCCGAUUUUGGUUUCUGAAGAAACCCCUGUGAAUUUGUUAGGCCGAGAUGUCUUGUGCAAACUAAAUGUCCAAAUUUGGUGUUCACCACAAGGAAUCUAUAUUGACAGCUCAGGGUUAGGGCUCCAAAUGAACAUUCAGGCAGACUAUGCAAAAAUAUAUUGGUUGGGUGACAUCGCUGACCCAGUGUCCAAAGCAUUUGACACAUGGGAAAAGUACAUCAGAGUCCAAAUUCCAAAAGCUGAAGCGCCAAUGUCUGAGUAUCAUUGCACUAUGUUUUUUGACCCCUCCUGCAGCAGUGUGUUUGAGGAAAAGUGGGACGAAGGUAACAGAGGCGCGACUCCCACUCUGAAAACACAGUACAUAGUGAUAGGCCAACAAGGAGCAGCGAUGAAUGUAGAAUCAAAUCCAUUCAUCAGAAAGUGGUACAAUGUGCCAGAGUCAGUACCACACAUAACACUGCUGGUAAACGAGUGUUUUGAAUCAAAAGACCUUGGGCCAAUGAUGUGUGCUGCAACAAAAACAAUGUGGGAGGGAACAGAUAACCCAAUGAUUUUUUCCUCAGAGAAGGGUGACAUGAUUAAGAUCCUGUGUGAAACAGAAAUGCAGUCAAGGCCACAAGUGGUGACUGUUCCGAUUAAGGAGGCAGCACAAAGUAUGAUUAAAAUUGAAAAUGAUGAAGAUGCGCUGAAAGAAGACAUGAUUUCAAAGGUUUCUCCAGAGCUCUGGAUUGUUAAAAGCAGGAGUACUGAUUGAGACAGAGUGUCUGCAACACUCCUAUUUUGCCAGUCUUGAAAGCAGAUAAAUCUAAAUAUCGGCUGGUGCAUGAUUUAAGAGUUGUGAAUGAGAUUGUGGAGGAUUGGCCAGCAGAGGUGCCAAAUCCCCAUACACUUCUCACAAAUGUGCCUCCAGAUGCAAAAUAUUUCACAGUCAUUGAUUUGUGUUCUGCUUUCUUCAGUGUCCCUCUAGCGGAGGAAUCUCGCUAUUUGUUUGCUUUUAAAUACAGGGGGAAACAGUACACUUACACAAGACUGCCACAGGGCAUGAAGCUGAGCCCACAUUUGUUUAACAAGGUUCUAAGACAGGAUCUUGAAGACUUGAUGUUGAAAAGCAUAUUGUUGCAGUAUGUUGAUGAUUUACUGAUCUGUGCACCGACAUUGGAGGAGUGUCACCAAGAAUCAGUGAAAGUGCUACAACGCCUAGCAGAGAGGGGGCAUAAAGUCUCCCAGGCGAAGCUACAGUACUGCAAGCCCCAGGUAGAGUACUUGGGGAGAACAAUCUCUCAGGGAGCGAUUGCAAUGUUACCUUCUCAGUUGGAGGGUGUGAGCAGAGCUCCACGCCCACGAACAGUGGGACAAAUGAUGACAUUUUUGGGCAUGACAGGGUUCAAUUCAGAAUGGAUUGAAGGUUAUGCUGAAAAGACUGCCCCACUGAGAGAUCUCAUGAAAGAGGCAGGUGAUCAAUCAUUGAAGACGCAACUGGUUUGGACGGUUGCUGCUAAGGAAGCAUUUGAGACAUUGAAACAGGAAAUGCAGAGUGCGCCUUGUCUUGCGACUCCAGACUAUAGCAAACCGUUUCUGUUGUAUGUGUCAAAUCGACAAAACAUGUAUGCAUCAGCUGUCCUGAUGCAGGAGACUUGCAGUGGUCGUCAAAAGCAGCCAAUAGCAUACUAUAGCUCGAAGCUUGAUAAUGUGGCCCAAGGGUGGCCUCCAUGUUAUCAAGGGCUAGCUGCAGUACAGUAUGCUUAUGAGAAAGCGUCCAUUGUAACUAUGGGAUAUCCAGUGACCAUUUUGACUCAUCAUAAAAUCACUGAGUUGAUCAACAAAGGAAAGUUUGUGGUAACUCAAGCCAGAUGUUUGCAGUAUAUGCCACUUUUGACAUAUCCUGAUGUCACAAUAAAGAAAUGUACCUCAUUGAAUCCAGCAGAUGUUAUUCCUUUUGACUUUCAGGGGGAGCCACAUGAGUGCAUGGCUGAAACAGUGAGGUACACAAAGUUGAGACCUGAUUUGGAGUCUACGCCACUCACAGAAGCAGAGGUGACGUAUUUUGUUGAUGGGUCAUGUUAUCGCGAUCAUUUAGGGAACCACGCCGGGUUUGCAGUGGUUAAACAGGAAAAGGAUGAGUUUGUGACAGUGAGUGCAGAGAGCUGCACUCAACCAUGUUCUGCACAGCUAGCAGAGCUUAUAGCUCUGACAGAAGCGUGCAAGCUUGCAUCAGGAAAAGUUGCAAAUAUUUUCACAGAUUCUGCUUAUGCGCAUGGAGUGUGCCAUUUAUUUGGAGCAGUCUGGAAGCAAAGAGGCUUCAAGAGAGCGGAUGGCAGUCCGGUGCAGCAUCGUGAACAGAUUGUUGCAUUGAUCGCAGCAAUGAUGUUGCCAUCAAAACUUGCCAUUGUGAAAUGUCAAGCCCACAGAAAAGGGAGUAGUGACAUUAUAAAGGGAAAUAAUGCAGCUGAUGAGGCUGCAAAGAAUGCCUCUAAAAGUCAGGUGUCUGUAUUGGCACCGAUGUUGUCACUUGAACCUGCUGCAACUCCAGAGGACAUUAUUUUGAUGCAGCAAAAUGCAAAUGUGAAUGAGCACAACAUUUGGCGUCAAAGAGGCGCCAGCAUUGACAAAGAUGGGCUAUGGAGGUCACAUGAAGGGCUGAUUGUGGCACCGGUAGCUCUGUUAACGAGUUUGAUUUCUGACCUGCACAGUGUGAAUCACUAUGCAAGGGGGGAGAUAAUGAGACAGCUGAGACAGCAGGGUUAUUGGUCACCAUACAUGCAGGCAAUGGUUGAUGAAAUGUUGAGCCAUUGUGAUGUGUGUCUUCAAAACAAUGUAAAAAGACCUAUGAAACCACCAACAGGACACAUUCCAGUUCCCGAGGGACCAUUCAGACAUUUAGUCAUAGAUUAUGUGGAUAUGAUUAAAACAGUCCAGGGGAAACGAUAUAUGUUGGUGGUGAUCGACAGGUUCAGCCGAUGGGUAGAAGCAACACCUUCCAAAGAUCUCGGCGCCGAGACUGUAAUUAAAUUUCUUGUCAGAGAGAUUAUUCCACGUUUUGGCAUUCCAUCAGAGAUUAGUUCAGACAAUGGCUCUGCAUUUGUGCAGAAGGUUGCCAAGGGCAUAUUGCAGCAGCUACGAAUCAAGCAACGACUAGGCAGUGUGUAUCACCCACAGAGCCAGGGCAUGGGAGAGAAAGUGAAUCUAACAAUCAAAAAUCGAAUCAGCAAAAUCUGCGCUAGCACUAACUAUAAAUGGGUAGACGCUUUGCCGCUUGCGCUUAUGGGCUAUCGCAUGCAAAGGCACAGAGUGAUUAAUCUGUCGCCACAUGAGAUGCUAACUGGUAGACCUAUGCCUCAUCCAGCAUGCAGAGGACCUUACAAGGGCCCCACACUUGAGCAGUUGCAGAAUGAACUAAAGGAGUAAAUGAGACAACUGACUGCGAUACAUAGGUCCAUAUAUCUGCAGGAGAAGAGCCGUGAACCUGAUCCAAACCAAGAGGUGGAGAGGCCAGUGGAGCCAGGGGACCAGGUCUACAUCAAAGUCUUUCGAAGAAAGUGGCACGAACCUCGGAGAGAAGGCCCGUACACUGUGGUCCGGGCUACACCUACUUCGGUGCAAGUAGAGGGCAGCACGACGUGGUAUCAUCUGAGUCACUGCACGAAACUGCCAAAGAGACCGAAGGGAAGUACAAUUCUUGACGAGAAAGACUCCAAAAAUGAAUGUGCUACUAAUCUUGAAAGUAACUGUUUUCCUGAUGUGGUUGCUAAAGGGCAACGUAGGCGUGGAAAGGGAAAGAGAGAAAGCGAUGACAGAGGGGGCGCAGACGAAGGUCACACAGGUGCCGAUACUACUGUCCGAAGAAGGAGCCCGAACGAACGUGAGUAUGAUGCAACCCCGAACACAAUCCACACCACUCCAGUGUUAGACCCCAUGCCAACAUUCUCUGAAAAACAACACACAAAAGGCCACAGUCAUACACAAAAACAGACAAAAAUUGAAAGGGACAGACAUAGAUUGUGGGUCAGGGAAAUAAAGAAGCGGCCGUCCCGGAAGGGAAAGGUAGCAGUACCAGCCAGGGUUUGAAACAAUCCUAAGGUAAAGAUAACAGCAUCAGCACCCAGGACAGGACCAGCAAAGCAGCCAGGUGUGACACCUGCUAGAACAGGUCCAGUGACCACAAUAGGUGAGGAGGUAAAAAAGACACGGGCCACAACUCAAACUAUGUUAACCACACAUGGUAGGAAGAUAGGAGAAGAUGACAGCACAGUUCAGGAUGACUAUGAUAAUUAUGAUAAUGCAGGAAACACUGAUGAGCAGCCAGGAAUGGAUGUGCUUAAGGGAAAACCUUGGGGAAACACACAGCCAAUCUUAAGAAGCAUUCAGAGUUAUCCGGAUGAAAGGUGGGAGAUGGCCAGGUAUAAUGGGUGGUAUGAAUGGGCAUUGUUUACAGCUAAAGGGGUAGUUCCUGAAGAAUGUAUUUUAUGCACUGAAUCUCCACUGUCAGUUCCGACCGUAGUUCCUGAGAAGUACACAUUUAGAGAAUGUGCACAAUACCAAAGUCAGAAAUGUAAAGAGGGAAAGUUCGAAGUGAAUAGCGACGUGCUAGAAAGUUCGCCUUUAUAUCAGAAGUAAUAAUAAUAAUAAUAAUAAUUUUAUUUAUAUAGCACCUUUAAAAACAGAAGUUUACAAAGUGCUUAGACAACAGUUGUAAGCACAGAACAUCAGCACAUUGAAAAUAAAAACACAUAAAAACAAAAGCUCAGUUAAAAAACAGGCAUCUGAAUUGUAGGCCUGUUUCACUUUUCGUAAGAAACCCAGGCAAUACAAGAACCCUACAAAAUAAAUGGGACCAUGAGGACCAAAAUAAAAGCAAAAAAAAGAAAUAGGAAAGAAAACAGGCUAGUAAGUAUAAAAGAGGAUAUUAAUAAUAAUAAUAAAAUCAUAAUAAAAUAAAAUGAUGGUAAUAUAAAUGAUAAAGUGGAAUUAAAUAUAUAUAUAUAAAAUAAAGGAAAAUGAAAACAUUAAAAUCAAUAAAAAGAUUAUAAGUAAAACAAAGGCUAAAAAGGCAGUAAGUCUAAAUAAGAAAGAGGUGAAAGAGGUAAAAGAAAAAGGAGAAAAAUAAAAACGGUAAAAGGCAAUAAAAGAUGAAAGAUGGCAUCACAUAAAGGCAAGUCUGUAAAAGUGAGUUUUUAAAAUUGACUUAAAAGAAGCGACUGUCUCUGCACGCCUUAUCUCCUCUGGCAGGUCGUUCCAAAGUCGAGGAGCUCUGAUGGAGAAAGCUCUAUCACCUUUAGUCUUGAGCCUCGACUUUGGAAAGCCAGUGAAGGGAGGCUAAAAUUGGGGUGAUGUGAUGCCGUCGACUAAAACCAGUUAAAAGUCUAGCUGCUGCAUUCUGAACUAGUUGGAGGCGAGAGAGUGAUUUCUUGUUUAGACCAGGGAGGAGAGAGUUACAAUAGUCCAGUCUUGAGAAAAUGAAGGCGUGGAUUAUCUUUUCGAGAUCUGGUGGGGUGAGUAUUUGUUUAAUCUUUGAAAUGGAGCGCAGGUGAAGGAAACAGGACUGGACAAUCUUGUUGAUAUGGGUGGAGAAGGUGAGGUCUGAAUCAAAGGUUACUCCCAGAUUUCUGGCUGUUGGUUUGAUGAUUACUGAGUUUGGACCGAGACAAGACUGAAUGAGGGGGGAGUUUUGUAUGUUACAGAGAAUUAUUUCAGAUUUUGAAUAAUUUAGCUGAAGGAAAUUUUGUGCCAUCCAACAGUUAAUGUCACUUAGACAGUCCAUGACAGCAGCUAGGCCUCUUGGGUCCUCAGGUCUCAAAGGAAGGUAUAUCUGUGUGUCGUCUGCAUAGCAGUGAAAGGAGACUUUGUGGCGCUGAAUUAAUUGGCCAAGGGGCAGCAUGUAUAUAGAAAAUAAAAUUGGGCCUAAAACUGAACCUUGCGGAACACCACAGGCGAUAGCAGAAGUAGAGGAGGUGUGAUUGCCUAUGGUGACCGCAAAGGUUCGUUCUAAAAGAUACGACUGAAACCAGCCAAGUGCAGUGCCCCUGACACCCACCCAGUUUUUAAGACGUUCAAUUAAAAUAGUAUGAUCAACUGUAUCAAAAGCUGCACUGAGAUCUAAAAGAAUUAAAAUUGAGCCCUCCCCUCUAUCUGCUGCUAAAAGAAGGUCAUUGGUCACACGGAGGAGGGCAGUCUCAGUGCUGUGACCUGCUCUAAAACCAGACUGAAAUUUCUCAAAGAGGUUGUUUUCGGACAUAAAACCUAAAAGCUGUUCAGAAACCACCUUCUCUAAAAGUUUGGAUAAAAAUGGAAGUUUUGAAAUUGGUCUAAAAUUGUUAAAAUCAGAGGGGUCAAGGUUUGGCUUCUUUAAAAGGGGUUGGACCACAGCGUGUUUAAAAGCAGAGGGAAAUACUCCCUCCACUAGAGAGCUAUUAAUGAUGGAUAAAAUGCUAGGCCCAACCACGUUAAAAACCUCUUUGAGAAAUCUGGUGGGGAUAGAAUCAAGACUGCACGUAGCUGGUUUCAUUUUGGCUAAAAUAUCAGAUAAAAAUUUUAAGGACACCGGCUCAAAACUACUAAAAAAGUGCUUAACUUCCCGACUUAAGAGUACAGGGAGACUGGGAGGGGUGAUUUGAUGCCUGAUGUCCAUAACCUUGUUAAUAAAAUGAAUUAAAAACUUCUCACAGGUUUCUUGAGAAGCAUCAGUAAAAUAAGAGGGGGAAGGGUUUGAAAGAGACUCUAAAACCUUGAAUAAAAUUCUGGGGUUUGAAUAAUUAGCUAAAAUCAAAUUUGAGUAAAAUGCUGCCCUUGCAUCCUUAACUGCCUUCUGGUAGUUUUUCAAGGAGUCUCUCCAAAUUUCGAGGAAAACCACCAACCCAGUUUUCUUCCAUUUGCGUUCUUUUUGUCUACAUAUUCUCUUUAGUUCAUGGGUGGACUCUGUGAGCCAGGGUUGGGGUUCUCUGUUAGAUCUUUUCUUUUUCAGAGGAGCUACAGAGUCCAGGAUGGUUCCACACAUACUGUUAAAAAGAGAGACAAGCUCUUCAGUGUUAAAAACUGGAUUAAAAUCUGGGUUGAGGGCAGUUAAAGAUGCAGAGAUAAAAAGCUCCGAAAACUUGCUAGCAGACGAUGCAUUAAAAACCCUUCUAAGAACAGGAGUGUGAUCGGUAAAAGAGGGCUGGGAUAAAACCAUGGAGAAUAAAACCAGUUUGUGAUCUGACACACAGAUAUCCUUAGUUAAAAACUCCCCAGGACUAAGUCCAGUAAAUAAAACCAAAUCUAAGCAGUGUCCCUUUACAUGAGUGGGUUCCUGUAUUGCCUGGGUAAGAUUAAAGGAGUCCAGAGUUUCAAUAAAAUCAACAGUUAAGGGUUGAGAGGGACAACAGGCAUGUACAUUAAAAUCACCCAAAAUAAGAACUUUGUCAUAUUUACAAAUAAAAAGGGAUAGAAACUCUGAAAACUCCUGAAUAAAAACAGCAUUGUGUUUGGGUGGUCGAUAAAUGAUUAUGAUUAAAACUUUCUUUCUUUCAAUUUAACAAUAAAAGCAAGGUGCUCAAAUGAACUGAAAGUGCUGAAGGUGAUGGGGGUGCAUUUAAAAUCCUUCUUGUAUAUGACAGCCACCCCCCCUCCCCGGCCUGACUGCCGGGGCUGAUGGAGGUGAGUAAAAUCAGGGGGGGUGGCUUCUAUAAGAGAAAUACAAUUGUCCGGAGUCAGCCAAGUUUCAGUCAGAAUAAAAAAGUCCAGACUGUUUUGUGAAAUAAAAUCAUGGCAUAAAAAUAUUUUGUUGUUGAGGGAUAUGAUGUUUAAAAGUCCAAAGUUUGCAGGUUUGCUGUUAAAAGCAGGGCGGGGUAGCCGAGGAAGCAGGGGGAUGUGGACGAGAUUGGUGGGGGGACAAAGUCUGGCUGGAGGACGGGGAGGACGUGAGGAUGUGAUGCGGACUGGAAUCACGGAUUUACUGAUAGUACUAGUGGGGGGGGCAGAGGAAGGUGGGGGUUGGCAGGUGAAUGAGCGGGGAUUGUGGGACUGUUUUGAGAUGACCAGAGGUUAUUGUGAGGAGGAGGGGGGGUGGAAGUUGUUCCAAUAUCCUAUUUGUGGUAUUGUGUGUAGGCUCAUAUAUGGGUCCAGACGUAGUCAUGAUUAUCUAGAUAAAUGUCCAACUUGCAAGCUUGAUUCUAAAUGUGCAGAAUUCCAGCUGUCAACUGAUCAAAUUGAGCCACCAAUGGCAUACAAGGUAGACUACACACAGAGUUAUGAGUGUUUUGCUAGUGGGGGAUUCUUAAAUGACUCCGGAGGUAUAGAAGUGGGGAACACUACUGUACAUUGCAAUGUUACUUGGGUGCUAUCUUGGUUUCCACACGCAAAAAGAACUCCAAUUUUUGUACAUGAACCAGUGUGGUUCGAAAACCCAGGUCCACGUCAGACUUAACUAUGACGACUCCAAAUUUACACUUAUUUUGUGAACAGUCUAAUGGGAUUGCAGAUAGUUACUGGAUUUGUGGGGAUGACGUGUUACGAAAUGUCCUUCCAUACAAGUGGAUAGGGUUAUGUGCCUUAGUGAGGUUACGAAUAUCAGUAGUAAUGACAUAUGAGGGUGUAAGCCAGGCCCUUAACAUCAAAGACAUUACAGAGGGAGCGUCAAGGGUUAAGCGUCAGUUCACACCUUUUGAAACAAUCAAAUUGGAUGCGAUAGGUCUGCCGACAGGCAUACCAGAUGAAUUCAAGACCCAAAAUGAAGUAAGAGCUGGGUUGGAGUCCAUUCUUCCUUGGAUAACAAUUAAAAAAAUGUAAAGUGGAUAAAUUACCUAUAUUACACACAGCAGAGAUUUGUAA